AACGAACGCUGGCGGCAGGCUUAACACAUGCAAGUCGAGCGCCCCGCAAGGGGAGCGGCAGACGGGUGAGUAACGCGUGGGAACGUACCUUUUGGUUCGGAACAACUCCGGGAAACUGGAGCUAAUACCGGAUAAGCCCUAACGGGGAAAGAUUUAUCGCCGAAAGAUCGGCCCGCGUCUGAUUAGCUAGUUGGUGAGGUAACGGCUCACCAAGGCGACGAUCAGUAGCUGGUCUGAGAGGAUGAUCAGCCACACUGGGACUGAGGCACGGCCCAGACUCCUACGGGAGGCAGCAGUGGGGAAUAUUGGACAAUGGGCGCAAGCCUGAUCCAGCCAUGCCGCGUGAGUGAUGAAGGCCUUAGGGUUGUAAAGCUCUUUUGUCCGGGAAGAUAAUGACUGUACCGGAAGAAUAAGCCCCGGCUAACUUCGUG
rnacentral:rRNA from 1 species